GACAGAGGGUGCAAACGUUGUUCGGAAUUACUGGGCGUAAAGCGCGUGUAGGCGGCUAUGCAAGUCGGACGUGAAAGCCCUCGGCUCAACCGGGGAAGUGCACCCGAAACUGCAAAGCUAGAGUCUCGGAGAGGAUCGUGGAAUUCUCGGUGUAGAGGUGAAAUUCGUAGAUAUCGAGAGGAACACCGGUGGCGAAGGCGGCGAUCUGGACGAUGACUGACGCUGAGACGCGAAAGCGUGGGGAGCGAACAGG
rnacentral:rRNA from 1 species